rnacentral:rRNA from 1 species
AAAGCCCCGCAAGGGGUAAGUAGAGUGGCAAACGGGUGAGUAACACGUGGGUGACCUGCCUUAGAGUGGGGGAUAACGUCCCGAAAGGGACGCUAAUACCGCAUAACAUCCUGCCUUUGAAGAGGUGGAGAUCAAAGCCGGGGACCGCAAGGCCCGGCGCUUAAAGAGGGGCCCGCGCCUGAUUAGCUAGUUGGUGAGGUAAUGGCUCACCAAGGCAACGAUCAGUAUCCGGCCUGAGAGGGCGGACGGACACACUGGGACUGAGACACGGCCCAGACUCCUACGGGAGGCAGCAGUGGGGAAUUGUUCGCAAUGGGCGCAAGCCUGACGACGCAACGCCGCGUGGAGGAUGAAGACCUUCGGGUCGUAAACUCCUUUCGAUCGAGACGAACAGCCAUCGGGUGAACAAUCCGGAGGUUUGACGGUACCGAGAGAAGAAGCCCCGGCUAACUCCGUGCCAGCAGCCGCGGUAAUACGGGGGGGGCAAGCGUUGUUCGGAAUUACUGGGCGUAAAGGGCUCGUAGGUUGCCAACUAAGUCAGACGUGAAAUCCCUCGGCUUAACCGGGGAACUGCGUCUGAUACUGGAUGGCUUGAGUUCGGGAGAGGGAUGCGGAAUUCCAGGUGUAGCGGUGAAAUGCGUAGAUAUCUGGAGGAACACCGGUGGCGAAGGCGGCAUCCUGGACCGACACUGACACUGAGGAGCGAAAGCCAGGGGAGCAAACGGGAUUAGAUACCCCGGUAGUCCUGGCCCUAAACGAUGAAUGCUUGGUGUGGCGGGUAUCGAUCCCUGCCGUGCCGAAGCUAACGCAUUAAGCAUUCCGCCUGGGGAGUACGGUCGCAAGGCUG